rnacentral:rRNA from 1 species
UACGUAGGGUGCGAGCGUUGUCCGGAAUUACUGGGUAUAAAGGGUGCGUAGGCGGGCUACUGCGUCGGGGGUUAAAUAUCUCGGCUUAACCGAGGGGAUGCCUUCGAAACGAGUAGUCUUGAAUAUGAGAGAGGAUGAUAGAAUUCCUGGUGUAGCGGUGAAAUGCGUAGAUAUCAGGAGGAAUACCGGUGGCGAAGGCGGUCAUCUGGCUCAUAAUUGACGCUGAGGCACGAAAGCGUGGGGAUCAAACAGGAUUAGAUACC